UACGUAGGAGGCGAGCGUUGUCCGGAAUUACUGGGCGUAAAGCGUGCGCAGGCGGUUUGUUAAGUCCGUUGUGAAAGCCCCGAGCUCAACUUGGGAAUUGCAGUGGAUACUGGCAGGCUGGAGUACGGUAGAGGAAGGUGGAAUUCCCGGUGUAGCAGUGAAAUGCGUAGAUAUCGGGAGGAACACCAGUGGCGAAGGCGGCCUUCUGGACCAGUACUGACGCUCAUGCACGAAAGCGUGGGGAGCAAACAGG
rnacentral:rRNA from 1 species